rnacentral:rRNA from 1 species
GGGUAACCUGCCUUAUAGUGGGGGAGUAGCCUUUCGAAAGGAAGAUUAAUACCGCAUAAGAUUGUAGUAUCGCAUGAUAUAGCAAUUAAAGGAGCAAUUCGCUAUAAGAUGGACCCGCGUCGCAUUAGCUAGUUGGUGAGGUAAUGGCUCACCAAGGCGACGAUGCGUAGCCGACCUGAGAGGGUGAUCGGCCACAUUGGGACUGAGACACGGCCAGACUCCUACGGGAGGCAGCAUG